CAGACUUCACCAUGCGUGUACUCAUCAUAUCUCUACUCGUUGCCGUAGCCAGUGCUGCUUCUCUGGCACCUAUUUACAAGGCCAGGGACCCAAUUGAAAACAGUUACUUUGUGAAAAUUAAGGAUGACCAAAAUAUUGACCAGUUUGUAAAGAAACUACCGGCACUCCGAAUGUCAGUGACCAAACGUUACAAAUCUUUCAACGGUAUUGCCGUCAAUGCCCUACCCAAAUAUAUCAGCAUGCUUCAACAUAUGCCCGAUGUAGAAUACAUUGAACAAGACGGUAUCUACAAAACAUCGGUUGAGUGGGGUUGCGAUCGUAUUGAUCAGAGGAAUCGUCCGCUAAUGGCGCAAUGAAUAUUUAUGGUGAUGGUAGCGGUGCUCAUGUGUACAUCAUCGACACUGGUCUGCGUCACACCCAUCAGGAAUAUCAGGGACGCGCAAGCUACUUCUGGGAUUUUGAUGCGGCUAAGGGGUGACGAUUGCAAUGGUCACGGUACUCAUUGUGGAGGUACUUCUGCUGGGAUUACGGUUGGUAUCGCUACGUCUGCUAGUCUUUACAGCGUACGUGUUUUGAAUUGUAUGGGAGCCGGAUCAACCGCUAACAUCGUAGAUGG